UACGGAGGGUGCAAGCGUUAUCCGGAUUCACUGGGUUUAAAGGGUGCGUAGGCGGGCAUGUAAGUCCGUGGUGAAAUCUCCGAGCUUAACUCGGAAACUGCCAUGGAUACUAUGUGUCUUGAAUGUUGUGGAGGUGAGCGGAAUAUGUCAUGUAGCGGUGAAAUGCUUAGAUAUGACAUAGAACACCAAUUGCGAAGGCAGCUCACUGCACAAAUAUUGACGUUGAGGCACGAAAGCGUGGGGAUCAAACAGG
rnacentral:rRNA from 1 species